ACCAGACAGUCUCGCUUUGGAAACCUGGUUACAUAACCACUAACAUCCACACAGCCCGUUUGGGAAUCGGCCGCAUCAACCCCAACGCUGGAAACGGGAACGCUGCCACUUCCUUUUGUGUGAACAGGGAAGCUUAAGCAAAGCAAGCAGAGGAGUAAACCAGAGGGCAGCAGUAAGUGUGAAGCAGCAGCCCCUCCCAGACAGGACUGUCAAAGAGAAAAGUGCAGCUUCUGAGCCAGGCGAGGCAGCAAGGGGAAGAACUCAAGAGCAAAGGUAAAAGAUGACUUUCCGUCCUACUUUAGGACAGCGUCACACAACAACAAACCAACUGACUAGUUCUGCCAGACAAAACGCUCUGCAGGGGAACUGCUCCUGGGAACACACUGUAGCAUGCUCACACGGUCUCCACCCUGUCCUCCUCCUCCUCCUCCUCUUCUGUUGGCUCAGGAGCUUCUGACACUCAGUGUGGGCUGAGUGUCAGUGGGGAAACUGCUGAGACUCUCACAGCACAAUGGAUGCCAGAGAGGAGACAGUGGGUCUCCUGAACAAUGUCCUGCUCAAGCUUCAAGGUCUGCCCAGUGCCCACCCUCUGGAGCUGGGAGGCUUCUUUGUCCUCCUAAUCUUCAUCCUUAUGGUGACUCUCAUGAUGGUGCUCACAUGCGUGAGCUGCUGCUGCUGCUGCUGUAAAUCCAAACAAGACGAGCUCGACGUCUAAGGGAACAUUUCUCCUAUCCGACAGGAUUUUUCCUGCCGAUCUGUUCACCACAGUGCUUAGAAAUCGUCCCCGGGCUUCAGACACAAGCUGCACAGCGUGUGCACAAGAAAGGAGGCGGUGCCACAGCGCAACAAAACAAACUCUCGGAUUGCGUUCUAGACUAUCAAAGCACCUGUUAAUGCUACCAGGCUUUCAGGAGAAGCAGCAUUCCUUUGGAGCAUCCCCGUCUGCGGAGCAACAACAGCUCGUCUACCAGGAGGAGAAGGCAGGGCCGGUAACAACUGGCUGAUAAACAAAUACGCAGCAUCGAACAGGUUUACAGGUUUUUAAAAAACAAGAAGCUACUCAGUGCUAGAUGAGCAGAAAGCCAUAUUUGUUUGAGAAUGAUUUAUAUUGACCUUGUAUCAUUCCUCUGUGAGGAAUAUUAGAAUAGAAAGAUGUUGUUUUAACUUUAUAAGCAAGUGAAUACAGUGAACCCUCGCUAUGACGUGGUUCACCUUUCUCGGCCUCGCUGCUUCGCAGACUUUUUUUUUUUCAAGUGUUCAUUGAAAGAAGGGCAUAGAAAAGCAAGUCUGCCCCCUGCUGUUCUGAAAUUAGAAAUUGGAUAUUCAAAGAAGGGAAUAAUGUUUAUAUCUGAAACUGCUAAAUGAGCUCAAGUAUACUGAUGUGAGAUUUUUACUGCAUCAUAAUGUAGUGAAGUGAUUUUUAUACAAUAAAAAAGUUG